rnacentral:rRNA from 1 species
GAUGAACGCUGGCGGCGUGCCUAAUACAUGCAAGUCGAGCGAACGGACGAGAAGCUUGCUUCUCUGAUGUUAGCGGCGGACGGGUGAGUAACACGUGGAUAACCUACCUAUAUGACUGGGAUAACUUCGGGAAACCGGAGCUAAUACCGGAUGAUAUUUUGAACCGCAUGGUUCAAAAGUGAAAGACGGUCUUGCUGUCACUUAUAGAUGGAUCCGCGCUGCAUUAGCUAGUUGGUAAGGUAACGGCUUACCAAGGCAACGAUGCAUAGCCGACCUGAGAGGGGGAAGGGCCCACUGGAAGGUGACAGGCGGCCAAGGCCCCUAGGGGAGGCCGAGGUAGGGAAGUUUCGCAAAAGGGCGAAAGCUUGACGGAGGAACGCAGGGUGGGUGAAGAAGGGCUUCGGGUGGUAAAACGUUUUUAUUGGGGAAAAAAAUUUUUGUAAGUAACGGUGCCUGUUUGAGGGGUACCGAUAAAGAAAGCCCGGGUAACUUCGUG